rnacentral:misc_RNA from 1 species
CAUUAACUAUUUUUCGAAAAGUCAAAAGUAACGGACCCAAAUUUCAAAUAAUAUAAUCCUUUACAUCUAUUACUGGUCUGGGGGACAACUAAUGAAAUAAUUAUUAGUUCCCCUCAGACGAAUGGACAGUCCAGGUCACAAAAUGUCCGAGAAAGAAUUUGUUGAAAUGCUUCGAAUGUUGGCCAGGGAAAAAGACAUAUCUUUAUCAGAUAUCAAAGGAAGAUUGAUUGCUGCAGGGAAACCAAAAGUUUCGGGAAUCAUUGCAGGGGUAUCUGCGGAAACUGUUGACAAACUGACGAAUCCUGCCUUAUUCAAAUCUCCUCCAAAGGAAUGAUACGAAGAAGUGAAGCAAAUAUCAAGAGAAGCAGCAAAAUGAUGGGUGUAAAAAUGUGUUACUAUUAUCAAAUUGUUAUUAAGUGAAAACUUUUAUUUUAUUAUAAUAAUGAUUAUUUCAAAUAAAUUCCUAAG